GAAGGAAAGGGUCCGCCUAGCCCUGAGUCAAGCGGUCUUACUGUACCGCCGUGUGCAUUCCCUCAUACGGUCAGGAGUUAUGACUCAUUUUGAAGAUAUCGAGCCUGCGUGCUGCCGAAGCAGGGCGCCGAGUCCAUGCGAACUGCCAUCUGAUCCGCUCUUAUCAAUGAAGCAGCCGAUCAUGGCGGAUGGCCCCCGGUGCAAGAGGCGCAAACAAGCCAAUCCCAGGAGGAAAAACGCCUUGGAGUCAGAAAUGAGCACUCGGAGCGGGAGAUGCCCUGCUGCUGCUUGCCACCGGUGCGGCCCGUUUGUAACUUGCAAAGUUUGUUGCUUUUGCCCCUGAUUCGGGCAGCGGGUCCUGGGAUGCUCCUGCUUCCCUCCUGCCUCCCACGGAGCCCGGGAAGAGGGUCUGCCUCCCCAUCCCGCCACCUUCCAGCAUCAGCCUCUGAAAAAUCUCACAGAGACAUGCACGUUGUAGCAAAAAUCAAAUCCGGAAACUGCUUGUUUCAGAGAAAGAAAUGAAGUUGUCUUUUAAAGAAAAACUGAAUUAGGAGGAGAGAAAAGGGAAAUAGGAGAAGAAAGGAAAAGUUAAAUUUGAUUUUUCUCCAGAGUUUCCACUAAAGGGUUGGGGACAGUGUGAAGGAGAAGGGGAGCUUUUUACAAAUGCCUUUGGUCUCUGAACUUCAGUGGCAAAGAACAGGGAUCAAGUUGAAUGUUCUCAGGGCUUUGGAUCCUAGAGGAGAAACAAUCAGAAGAGCAGAAAUGGUUAUCCCUGUUUAAAAUAAGCCCUCACUCUUUACCACUUCCUUAAAGGAGUGGAGGUGCUGGUAGUGAUGGUUAGAGGCAAUGAGGGACGGAGAAGUUGCUCCCGUUUCAGAGAUGCUUAAAUGAAAAGGAAAGAAAAUGCAGUCAACCCCUUCUCCAGGAGGUGCCUCCUAGCUCUCCUCCCUGAGAGGUGAAGUUGGGAUGGGGCAACGAGAGUCAUACACACUUAGACAAGGAAGUUUCCUUCGGAUCACUGUCAGUCCAGACUUGGUUAUCUUUGCAAAGUGUGGAAAUCUUUGGCAAGUAGCUUUCUUCGUAAAGUUGAUGAGCUUCUAGGGAGCCUGUUUUGCUGACUUUCAAAGCACUGGGGCAGGUUGUGUGGCAGGUACCAGUUCUGAGGGCGCUCCAAAGAUAUCCAUCUCCAUCCUUUUUUCUCUGUGGAGAUCUUCUGCAAGUUUUGUCACGCUGCACACACACAAGGCUGGGGGCUAUGUAUCUAGGCUGAUCUAUUUGUUUUAUUUUGGUCUGGAAAAACUAAGCCAAUUGGGGUAGAAACAUGCUUUCCUUCGUAGCAGAGCCAGUAGGCUGCUGGUGUCCAUAGAGUGACAGUCCACCAGGACUAAGGGUGGGCUGAGGAUUUUAAACUUUACAUUGUUUCUCUGUUACCAGAUACAAAUAAAUUCACGUCUUCCACCAUUUGUUUUCAAAUAGGGUAAAACCAAGAUUAAAGUUCCCUGCUCAACUGCUAUGUCAUAGGUUUCAGUGUUUCCCUUCCUUCUUAAUUUGCUUAAAGAAAAUUCCAAGAGGUUAUUAAAGACCUUGAUGCCAUAUUAAGAAUAUUUCCUGGGAAAAAUGUAUGUCUACCCUGAAGGUAGGAAAGGAGGGCGUUGCUAGCCUCUAGCAGUGCCGCGUUUAUUCUAAGAUGUGGGAGAUUCUUUUCCUUGCAACAGUUUUUGUCAUCUGCAUUCUUCCAAGGCUUUUAAGGUGCAUUUUCUUCUGUGUGAAAGGAAAUUCUUUGUCCUUUUCCUCUCAGCACCGUGGCUUCCCAAGGUAGACACUAUUUUGUGCCUGUCACAGAGAGAGGGAGUGCAGGUUUGCAAUGCUCACAGACAAUUGAUUGUCUGCCCUAAUGUGUUUCAUUUACAUGUUUAUAACGUCAAUGGUGCUGGGGUGUCCACUGUACCAUUCAUUCCCGCAUUCCCACAAGGGGGCAAUUGUCUGAAUGGCCAAGUCAGACACCUUUUUGAUUGCUCUUUGGUUGUCUUUUCAGAGCAAAGAGAUAAAGGAGGAAAAUCUGUGAUGCAGAAACACUAGUUGAAAAUAUACAGAAUUAAAUGUCACCACAAAAGCAGAUGUUAACAUAAGCCCAAAUAUGCUUUUUAGCCAAGAUGUGAAGGUUGAAAAAAAUAAUUCAGAGCAGAGGGAAGGAUGAUUUAAACCAAUAAAUAUAGCCCUAUUCCCCCUCUUUACUUCUUUUCUGUCUUUAGCAAUCAGAAGAUGAAAUGUAAUUUUCCUUUUCAUUUUUAAGCCUUGAAACAUCCAGGCACCUCCUCAUUAUUUGUAUGUUUGCUGUGAUUUGUGAAUUUUGUAUAUAUUUACAUAGCUCUGUUUAUGCCAACAGCAUCAGCUUACCACUUGGAAAAUCUAUUGAAUGACUAUUUGGGCUGUGGGGAGGGUAAACUUUUAAAAAGUAAGAUCCAAGUAUUUCUUCAUCAAGCAGUUUUUAAAAGGAAAACGAUAAUAAUCAGUAGGCUCCAUGGAAGCCUUUGCCUUAAUAGCUAUGUGCCAAAUACUUUUAUCUUGUGUGACAGUCAUGUCAGAGUGAAAUCUCUCAGGAAAAGUGUAACUAGUAGUUACAAAGUAAAUAAAGGAUUUCAUUUUAA
rnacentral:lncRNA from 1 species